rnacentral:lncRNA from 1 species
ACAGACAGUAAUGAAAAAUUAAACACCACACAUAAAAUUACACAAACAGUAAUGAAAAAUUAAACACCACACAUAAAAUUUAUCAAACUAGUUAAGAAAUACAUGGUGCAGCCAUGCAGUAUAAAUACAAUAGAAUCAUAGGGUAAUUUUCCAUAAAUAUCUUCAGAGUACCAAGAGCAAUUUGUCACAAAAUUAUAAAACAUGAUAAAAAAAAAAAAGAAUAGGUAGCAGACAAGCUAUUUGUUACUUUUUGUUUUGCUUCCAAGGCUUCCUCAGCUGCCUUCAUCUUGGCAACAGAAUCAUCUUCAUCAUCCCUGCUUAAGAAAACAAAGAACCUAUUGUUAAACAAUUUAGAACUUGAAAAAGAAAAGAACCAUGUUACUAGGACUUAGGUAUGAGAAAUACACAAAAAACAAACAAAUAGGUCUGUCUAUUUGUUUUGAAAAAAAAUACACAAAAUAUUUGAUAUAAUCUGCUCAAAAGAUAUUAAUCAUGUUACCUUUCAACCCCAAACAGCUUGAAAGAGUGAAGCAAAAAAAAAAAAUAAACAGAACCCCAUU